CAUAGUGUGCUCUGGAAACUNUCUGACUUGAGUGCAGAAGGGGAGAGUGGAAUUCCAUGUGUAGCGGUGAAAUGCGUAGAUAUAUGGAGGAACACCAGUGGCGAAAGCGGCUCUCUGGUCUGUCACUGACGCUGAGGCUCGAAAGCGUGGGUAGCGAACAGGAUUAGAUACCCUGGUAGUCCACGCCGUAAACGAUGAGUGCUAGGUGUUAGGCCCUUUCCGGGGCUUAGUGCCGGAGCUAACGCAAUAAGCACUCCGCCUGGGGAGUACGACCGCAAGGUUGAAACUCAAAGGAAUUGACGGGGGCCCGCACAAGCGGUGGAGCAUGUGGUUUAAUUCGAAGCAACGCGAAGAACCUUACCAGGUCUUGACAUCCCGAUGCUAUUCUUAGAGAUAGGAAGUUACUUCGGUACAUCGGAGACAGGUGGUGCAUGGUUGUCGUCAGCUCGUGUCGUGAGAUGUUGGGUUAAGUCCCGCAACGAGCGCAACCCUUAUUGUUAGUUGCCAUCAUUAAGUUGGGCACUCUAGCGAGACUGCCGGUAAUAAACCGGAGGAAGGUGGGGAUGACGUCAAAUCAUCAUGCCCCUUAUGACCUGGGCUACACACGUGCUACAAUGGUCGGUACAACGAGUUGCGAGCCGGUGACGGCAAGCUAAUCUCUGAAAGCCGAUCUCAGUUCGGAUUGGAGGCUGCAACUCGCCUCCAUGAAGUCGGAAUCGCUAGUAAUCGCGGAUCAGCACGCCGCGGUGAAUACGUUCCCGGGCCUUGUACAC
rnacentral:rRNA from 1 species